rnacentral:tRNA from 1 species
UGGCUCAGUUGGUAGAGCAUGGUGUUUGCAAUGCCAGGGUUGUAGGUUCGAUUCCCAU